AAGUAACUAAUACAAAAGUAGUAAAAUGCUGGAAGGGCUUAUAGCUAAGCUGAGGGCUUAGGUUUUAUAAGAAGAUACAGUUAACUUUCCAUGACUGAGUCCCACAUUUGUAGAUUCAACUAACCACAGAUUAAAAAUAACAAAUCUCUACUAACAUUGUGCGUGUUUUUCUGUAUAUUGUAACCUAGUAUGAAAACUACUUAAUAGUAUUUGCAUUAUAUUUGCAUAAUUGAGAAUCUAAAGAAUGUAGGUGGAUCUGUCUUAGUUGUAUGUAAAAAUAUCCCAUAUCCUAUUUAAUAUAGGGAGUUAGAGUAGGAACCAUUAUCCACAGAUGCUGUACUAUUCAUCAUUUAUAUAAGGUCAAGUUGUCCUGAAAAGAAAGGUGGUGGUUUUGUUUAUUUACCCCCACCCCACACUUCUCUCCCUUCCCCCUCCCUCUCUUGCUUCAUCCCCUUUGUUAUUCCUGGGGCAGGAGGGUGGCUAUGUGUGUGAGCACCUGUGUGAGUGCCCCCCAUCUGUCUGUGUAAUGAUAGGGAUGGGACCCAGACUCUUAACCCAUGCUGAACAAGAGUUCUACCACUGAGCUACAAACUCAGUCCCAAAGAAUAAACAUUGUUUUAUUUAUUUAUUUAUUUAUUUAGUGCUGGGGAUUGAACCUCAGUUCUUAUGUGUACCAAGCCAAGUGCUAUCCCACUGACUUUUAUCCAUAACCCCUGGAGAGAAAUUGGAAUUAUAUAUUACAUAUUUCAUUUUAUGUAUAUUUGUGUGUUUAUCACAUACAUGAAGGCCAAAAGAUCUCUAGAACUGAAGUUUUACAGGUGAUUGCAAGGUGUGUGAGAUGGGUUAUGGGAACUGAACCUGGAUCCUUUUCAAAAGUAGCUCGUGUUUUUAACCACUGGGCUAUCUGAUCUAGUCCCUGAAGAGAAAGUUUUUAACCUUGGUGCUCCAAGUAUUUUCUGUUGAUGAGGCAACACGAAUUUUGUUAAUGAUCCUAGAGGGAAGUAAGAGCUCAAGUAAGAGAAAAUGGACAGUAGGAGCAGCACAGGGAGUGUGCUACAGAGCACCAAGAACUGCCUAGGACUCCAUGCUCUGCAUCGGAGCUGGGCACUGCCAGUGUUUGGCACUGACUACUGAGCAUUCUGGAAUAUGAAUCAGGAUUUCACUUUUCAAAGCUCACUCCUAAGACUGAACCAUGAUGUAAAGUACAGC
rnacentral:lncRNA from 1 species